GGUAAAAUAAAACGUUUGUCAGGAAUAUAUAUAUUAUAUAUAUCCACAUUCACAUACAAACAUCCUGGGGGCUGGAGCAAGUGGGUUCACGACCAAAAAUAACCUUUACUAUCUCAAAACAAUAGUGGUUCACGCAAAUACUAAUUUAUAAACCUUUAAGUGGAGAUCGUAUUUGUAUUAGGUGGAUAUUUACUUUGAACUGGAGACCCAGCAAGCAGUCCCAAAUCUUAGAGCUCUGUAGUUGUGCUCGACUUUGUGGUUACGUGGCAAGAACAAAAUUAUUACACAAGCUAGUAGUGAGGGAAAUGAUUUAUAUGAAGCUGAGACCAAAGUUAUUUAGGGGAGAACCAAAGUGAAGCAAAGAUGAAGUUAGGCCAUUAGUGAAAUUAAAAGGUGUUUGAUUAAGCUGGACUGACUCUUUGAAACAGCAAAGGUCAGACUAUGGAAGAGAGACAGAAUAGGAACAAAGUAGUGUGCAGAAAGGUUAAAGAAGACACCAUCAGGCAGGUAAUGGGAAUGUAAUUAAGCAAAGGAACAGGACAAGCUGAUGGGAUCAUUGCUCAGGAGGAUGUAAAAAACGGAAGAGGCAUGAUAAGGUUGUAAAAGGACAAAAAUCCCAUCAAGAUAUUCAGCUGUAUAGAGCUUGGCCCAGCUAUGAAGCAAGGAUUUAACUACACACAGAACAAAAGAGAUUGGUAAAAACUCUGAAUUCCAGAAUGCACAGUAUUAACCUAUUUUCAUAACAGCUCCAGUAGUCACAGCUGAAAUCCCCAUGAAGUCAUAGUGCUACAUAACUCUGCUCCCACCAACCUUUCUUGCUCUCUGCCCACAGCUCUCCACAGGUUGCUUUGGAGAGGACACACCCAGGAAGGUCUUGAUCUUGCAGUUUUCCUUUCACUGCCCUGAAGAAGAAGGCAUUUGAAACCACAGCUCCACAAGCCUGACACAUGUGCCAGUACGAGCAGGCGCUCACCCAAGUCUCUAGGCCGAGAGCAACCAUCAUGUCUUCUCUGGUCAUCGGACCUGCAGAACUCAAGGCUUAAACUGUGUCGGGCCAGAGCAAGCUGGAGUUGAGGCUAUAGUUUCUCAUGAGUUUUGGCCAGUGGGGAGAAUUAAUAAAAACCCAAGUGUGAGUUUCUUCUCCAGAAGAAUGCGUGCCUCCGUUGCGUGUUAACCGGUCUCGGUUUCCAGCUGGAAAAAGCAAGGGGGAGAGGCCUCAUAUUACUUAUAUCGUCCACUGUGACAUCAGAGCUGCGAAGCCCCUUCCUAUCAGCUGCAAUUCCUGCUGGGAGUUGUGGUAGCACACCAUACUGCGGUAUAUAGUAACAAACAAAUGGUCCAACACUGGUUAUCUUAGCACAUGCAAACUCCUGGUUUCUCUGUAAAGGUAAUAUUUUAAAAAUAAAUUAUUUGUUGUCAACAAAAAAACGCCAUCAUAUUUUGGCCAUCUGAGGUGCAUUCCACAUAUUCACACUGAAUUGUAAUAUCACUGCAUCAUUUUAUUGGUUAUUGGAGUUUCAUUUUUAUUCUUAAAUUAUAUGUUCCUUUUUAUUUUUUCUCCCAUAGUCUGUUAGUUUUCCUUAUUCUAUUUAUUUUUACUUAGUAGUUUAGUUAAAUGUCACUAGCCUAGGUAAAGAGUUUCUUGAAUUAAGUAUUUUAACUGAAAGUUGAGGGUUUUUGUUAAUAAAAUCUUUAUUUUAGAGAUACGUUGUGUUUAUUCUGUAUAUGUGUGGAGUGCUUUGCUUCUUGAAAACACCAGUGCUUUAAUUAACACUUUCAUCUAUACCUUAGCAGGCAGGUAUUCAUAGAACAAUAACUGACAGAGACUGAGAGCUAUUAUUAUUUCCAGUUAAUCAGGUGGUGCCCUGACUUGGCAAUCAGGAUGAUCAAUCCUCGCAGUGUUCCAUAAAUCAGCUUUUCACACCGAGGCCCAGCAGGGGUCCUUUCUCUUUAUCCACAGCCAAUGACUGCCCUUCUCGGCUGCCUCUGACAUAACUCUGAUGGUUUGGCUUUGACUCCCCACCUCCUAUAUUUUUCAGCAAUCUGAUGGUAGUCAUGGCUGAAAACCCUCUGCAGCCCACUUCCAAAAGGUGGACUUUAGUGUUCCAACCAGGCUGUUAAGCCUCUGCUGCAAGUUCGGUAUAGCACAGGUCUUUACAUUCAUAGGCUUUAUCCACGGAGUCCUCCCAGAUUAUUAGCGGCUUCUGGCAACUUUUGCCCCCUCCUGGACAAACAUUGUUUGCACAGGCUUCUAUUCUGUUUGUAAAAGAGACAAGUUGGUAGCAGCUUGCAUCUCUUCCAGAGUGAUGGCAAGGCUUUUGAGGACCUGGUUCUGGUGCAAGGUGUAAUGUCAUUGGGUAGAGCUGAACUUACACCCUGCCAUGAUGUGUUUGAGGGACACUGGCCUAGAAGAUAAGGGACAUGCCGAAUCUUCACCCAGUCACUGGUGAAGAUUUGUUGGUGUUGAAAGGAUGUCAUAUGUUGUUCUAUUGUAAAUUUAUUUUCAUUUUGUUUUUUUGUUUUUUUAAAUUGAGGAGACAGGAAAUAGGGUGGGAGGAAAUGCAGUAAACAUCAACAGGCCUGGACUCAAACCCACGACAGCCUGCGUCAAUGACUAAGGCCUCAAUACAUGGGUCACACGCUUAACCACUGCUUAACCACCAUGCAGACCGCCAAAGGUCGCCCUCUCGGUCAAUAGGACUGAGGCUGAGAUGUUGACGCUGCAUGUUUAGGGGGGAAAGACAAUACAGUGACCAAGGAAUGAAGAAAAGAAAGACUGAAAUAAAAAAAAGAAAUCUGUUGGUUAAAAAAAAUACAACUGGGAUAUAUUAGAGGAGAAAAUAUAUCCAUGCUUAAGAAAUAAAAUAAAAUAAAAUGUGA